rnacentral:rRNA from 1 species
CCUACGGGUGGCAGCAGUGAGGAAUAUUGGUCAAUGGGCGCGAGCCUGAACCAGCCAAGUAGCGUGAAGGAUGACUGCCCUACGGGUUGUAAACUUCUUUUAUAAAGGAAUAAAGUGAGGCACGUGUGCCUUUUUGUAUGUACUUUAUGAAUAAGGAUCGGCUAACUCCGUGCCAGCAGCCGCGGUAAUACGGAGGAUCCGAGCGUUAUCCGGAUUUAUUGGGUUUAAAGGGAGCGUAGGUGGGUUGUUCAGUUAGUUGGUAAAGUGUGCGGCUCAACCGUACAAGUGCAAUUGAUACUGGCAGUCUUGAGUACAGAUGAGGUAGGCGGAAUGCGUGGUGUAGCGGUGAAAUGCUUAGAUAUCACGAGGAACUCCGAUUGCGAAGGCAGCUUGCUAAGGUGCCACUGACACUGAGGCUCGAAGGUGUGGGUAUCAAACAGGAUUAGAUACCCCAGUAGUC